rnacentral:rRNA from 1 species
UACGUAGGCAGCAAGCGUUGUUCGGAGUUACUGGGCGUAAAGGGUGUGUAGGCGGUUGGUUAAGUUUGGUGUGAAAUCUCCCGGCUCAACUGGGAGGGUGCGCCGAAUACUGAAUGACUCGAGUGCGGGAGAGGAAAGUGGAAUUCCUGGUGUAGCGGUGGAAUGCGUAGAGAUCCGGAGGAAGACCGGUGGCGAAGGCGGCCUGCUGGGCAGUUACUGACACUGAGGCGCGACAGCGUGGGGAGCAAACAGG